UUUAAGCAUAUCACUCAGUGGAGGAAGAGCAAGCAACCGCGAUUGCUUCAGUAAUGGCGAAUGAACUGGCAAACCCUUGGCUCAGCCUGAAUGGAUCCUAAUCUGCCUCAGUGAAGCUUCGGCGACAUUGCAGUGUCAGAUCGGCUAUCUCUGGGAAACCAAUGCUGUGGGCUACGGAGCGGUCAGUGAUGCAAGGUUUGGCUGCGGUGCCUGGAAGGUGCCCUGGAAUGGACCACGAGAGAGGGAUAUUGUCCCAUACAACGAGCAGUGUGCCGUGGCCACCGAGUGUUGCUGACUGUAUCCAAGAGUAGAGCUGUUUGAGACUGCAGUUUGAAGUGCAAGAUGUGUCUCUUGCAAGGCACAAUACCACCAUGGGACCGAUAGUGCACAAGUAGAGUGAUUGAAGGAUGCAAAGGACUUUGCGAAGAGGGUUAAAAGUCCCUGAAGCCUCUGCAGGAACGGCGGUGUGUGGUGCUGCAAUCUCUGUGAACCAAGCGACCUUGGGCCAGCCCUCGACUGGCCACUGAGCCUAUGCCUGAAGGUGUGGAUGCAAUCGUCGGCAGUCGUUGGUGACAGCAAGCCUGUCUGGGCCUGAGGUUUGAAGCAACAAGGCUGAAACGCUGACCGCUGUGGCGGGACGCUAUCCUCAAACGUGGUGAGCUGCUGGUUGUUGGCCCUGGUGUGUCUCCGGGCAUGCCAGUCAUCUGAUCCUUCUCAGUGGGCCUUGGGACGGUGCGAGAGCUCCACGACUCUGCUUGUGGCUCGAGUGCAGUUCCGUUGGUCUCUGGAUGGGGUUGGGUGAGGCCGUGGCAGUGUAGCUUGGUACAACAGUGCCAUACACUGCCCGUCUUGAAACACGGACCAAGGAGUCUAUGGACGUUGCCAGUCGGCAAGUGUGAGCAUGGAAAGCUGCCAAAGGCUCGGUGAGAGCAAGCAAAGGGCCACUCCCGUGGUUCCCUCCAGAUGUGGUGCAACAACGAGUGUGAGCGUGGCUCGACAAAGGGAUGGAUGAUUGCCUCGUGGCUAAUCUCUGCUGCUGAUGUGUCAAGGAUGAGAAAGUGUCUGAGUGCUGCCUCUGAAGUCUCCCAAGAGCCCCAACAACGCUGGCCUUGUCUGUGUGUGCUUCCUGCAUGGAACACCAGUCCCUGUGUUCAGUGAACGGGGCUUUGAGUGCUUGCAACGUCCAUGUGACCCGAAAGGUGGUGAACUAUGCCAUUCCAUGACGAAGCCAUGGGAAACUGUGGUGGAGGUCAGUAGCUGUUCUGACGUGCAAAUUGUGUAGCCUGAGUGUGGCAUAGGGGCGAAAGGCCAAUCGAACCACCUAGUAGCUGGUUUCCCUCGAAGUUUCCCUCARGAUAGCUGGGCUCAAGUGCAAUCCACUGUGCAGAGAUGCGGCUCAUGAGUGGUUCUGUCCGGUAAAGCAAUGCAUGAGAGGCUUCAGCGGGGAGCCCAGCUCCUCGACCUAUCCUCAAACUGUGAAUGGGCAAGGCAAACAGCCAUGAACAAGGCAUGCUUCUUCACCAGUGCCUGAGUCUGGUGCUCCUCGGCAGCAUCCAGUUCUCCCAAGGUCUUCUGCUGAGCGUGUUUCCCCUGAGCUCCAUGGCCGAUGGCCGAAGAGACACAUUGACUGUGCUGGGCAGCUGCUGCGGCUGAUGAAGGAGGUUGGUGACAGUGGUUCUGUUGCACCCUGGUGCUGAGGACACACGGCCCUCUCUCUGGAUUCUUCUUGCACUGUGGGCUGGCGCUGGUCUGUGUCAAACAGCAACAACGCUCCUCUGAGCUGUCUUCCAUGUGCAAUGUGGCCUGAACAAGAGAGUCUGUGUGGACCAGGAUUGGUAAGCAGUGCUGGUGAUGCGGGAUGCUCCGAGAGUGGACUUACAGUGCCUGAGUGCUGGCUCAUACUCAGAUCCCACAAAGGAUGCUGCAUGCUAUGGAUAGCAGGUCGGUGGCCAUGAAGGUUGGAACCCGCUAAGGACUGUGUAACAACUCACCUGCCGAAGUGUGCAGCUCCCAAAAUGGAUGGUGCCUAAGUCAGUGAAGCUGAAUGUGCCUUACAGUCCACCACUGCUGUGGUGUUGAGCAAGCAGAGCAUCAGUGUGUAGAGAGGACACAGAGGAUUGCUGUGCCAGUUGGGAGUGAUCCUGACUGGAGCGUCCUCCGGCACAGAUCUUGGUUGCAGUAGCGAGUACUCCAUCGAGUGAGGAGCAGUUAACAACACUGCCAUGUGUGGUUGAGGACUGGAGUGGAGCAGGCUUCUGCAUCAAACAGCCGUUGAAUGCAGGUCAGUCGACCGUGAGCCAAGUGGUGAGCUCAGAGUGAACUCUACCAAAGCUGUCAAGGUCCUCGGCUGUGCAGUCGGUGAUGGAACCAGCAUGCCACAGUGUGUCCUCAGGGGCACUUCUGGCACAGAGCUGCUGCAGGGCUCUGUCUGCCGUGUGGGCUGUGUUUCUGACCAGGCUGUGUCAGCUGGGGCCACUGCCUGAUGGGAUUGGCAAACAGGCAAGCAUGUGCAACAUUCUGCUACAACGGGCUUGGAACUCGCCGGCAAACCCGGUGAAUGGUGGUGACACCUCGUGACUGGAGCAAGCAGGCUUUGGGGCAGUGCACCCCAUGGGGAGUUCUCGUUUCCUCCUGAUGCAGACCCAUGUGGGCUACUGAUUGGCAUGACAAGUGGUGAAGUAUGUCCUCCUCUCGGCAAGGCAGUGCAACCUUYGCACUGAUGGUUCUGUCCCUCAACAACAACCAAGUGUGUGCAGCAACCCUUGUGCAACGCAAACCACCAACGGUGGUCACUGGCUCCACUGAAAGGCCUGCGGGACGCUGUCUUCCUGGUCCCUAGAUACUCGUAGGAGCCACACCGCAGCCGGUCUCCAUGACUUGACGUCGCUGGUCAACAGAGUGAAUGCAGCUAAGGGAAGUCGGCAAACUGGCUGUGUACCUUUGGAAGAUGCAGUGGCUCCAGAGGCCUAGUCGCUGGGACCUGUCACAGGUGGUUGUCUUSSSUGGUUUGAGGCUACUCUGCGUGGUGUCUCUCGGGACAUCUAGCGUGGGGAGGCAGCUGCUGCGAGCACCAUUCUCGUGGUGGGGACUCACAACCACCGUGUGGCCCAUGCUGCACGGGAGUCACCCUGGUGUCUACCAAGAGGCCCACGUGGAACUGUUGCUGUGCAGGGGAAUCUGACUGUUUAAUUGAAACCCAGCUUUGUGGCUGUGAUCAGCAGGCUGCUGCCAUGAGGUGACUUCUGCCCAGUGCUCUGGUUGUCAAUGCCAAGAGAUUGAGCCAAGCGCGGGUAAACGGCGGGAGUAACUAUGACUCUCUUAAGGUAGCCAAAUGCCUCGUCAACCAAUUAUUGACGCGCAUGAAUGGAUCAACGAGAUUCCUGCUGUCCCUAGUUGCUAUCUGGUGAACCAACAGCCAAGGGAACGGGCUUGGAUG
rnacentral:rRNA from 1 species